ACCAAGCCGACGAUCCAUAGCUGGUUUGAGAGGAUGAUCAGCCACACUGGGACUGAGACACGGCCCAGACUCCUACGGGAGGCAGCAGUGGGGAAUCUUAGACAAUGGGGGCAACCCUGAUCUAGCCAUGCCGCGUGAGUGAUGAAGGCCCUAGGGUUGUAAAGCUCUUUCAGCUGGGAAGAUAAUGACGGUACCAGCAGAAGAAGCCCCGGCUAACUCCGUGCCAGCAGCCGCGGUAAUACGGAGGGGGCUAGCGUUGUUCGGAAUUACUGGGGGUAAAGCGCGCGUAGGCGGAUCANCAAGUUAGGGGUGAAAUCCCGGGGCUCAACCCCGGAACUGCCUCUAAAACUGUUGGUCUUGAGUUCGAGAGAGGUGAGUGGAAUUCCGA
rnacentral:rRNA from 1 species